UACGUAGGGUGCGAGCGUUAUUCGGAAUUAUUGGGCGUAAAGGGCGCGUAGGCGGCAUGGCAAGUGGAAGGUGAAAUCCCUCGGCUCAACUGAGGAACUGCCCUCCAAACUGCUUUGCUUGAGUCCGGGAGAGGUGAGUGGAAUUCCCAGUGUAGCGGUGAAAUGCGUAGAUAUGCGGAGGAACACCGAUGGCGAAGGCAAUCCCCUGGACCUGUACUGACGCUCAUGCACGAAAGCGUGGGGAGCAAACAGG
rnacentral:rRNA from 1 species